AUUUGAGGCCUGCCCCACAGGAGGGAAUUUCACGCCCCUUACUAUAAUCCUGUACAAAAGUCUACAGCUGAGGAGAUCACUGGUUCCAGAUAGAAUUGGUUCCCUGCCAUCCAUGAAGCGUGCAGCAACCCUGACAACAGAGGAGCUAGGGGAGAAAAAAAAAUCAUUUUUUGAAGAGGCUCCUCUACCCAGCAGCUUUUACUCAUGGUGUGUAUAUUAUUAUGAUAAUCCUCCAUGAAACAGUCAGUUAAUUUAGAUUAUGUUUCAAUUUGUCACGGUAGAUGUCUAAGAAACAGUACCGUCUGGAGAAAAUAUACCAGGAAAUAUAACCAGGAAAGGGUAUGGCUGUCCUACUAACAGAUUCCUCAGAAGGUCUGAGUUGGUCUAAGCUGUUUUCUACACUGGGAUGCACAUCACCGUGGCUUCAAUGAGAAUCAUCAUCACCUCAUGCAUCAGGCCCUUCCUCUCUUCUUAUGCUUUGGAGACCAGUUUCUGUGUUGUUAGUGAAGGCUUAGUGGUCUCCAAGGAACUUCAAAUGUCUCUAUAACUCAUCAGCUCACAGAGACCUGGAGGCACUUGCCUUUGCUCGUCCCAUGAAAUUCCUGCCAAAGUCCUGACUGACAGGUGGAGAAAGAGCACACAUGCAUGUAUACACAUCAGCAACAAAGUGUUGAAUGCCAAGGCUAGUGUCCAUUACCACACCUGCCUGAGGUUUGUAUUUAUGAUAAAUGCCAGAGGACAAAGGAUUGCAUUCAUCCAGAGUUGGAGGUACUUGUAAUUCCUUAUGUGUCAUCACAUCCCCAAUGUAAAUUUCCUUAUUUAUGCAUUGAAGAUAUUUGUAACAUUUUACGUCAUUUUUCUCAAGAUAACAGAGCUAAACCAGGAAUGGUGGACCAGCCCCAUAAUCCCAGAACAAGAAAGUAGAUAAAGGAUUACAAGUGCAAAAACUACAGAGACGUUGUCUCAAAAUUUUAAAAAACUGUAAUUAAGUAAUUAACAAUAAAAGAAUGGCAGG
rnacentral:lncRNA from 1 species